ACGGGUAGCCGGCCUGAGAGGGUGACCGGCCACACUGGGACUGAGACACGGCCCAGACUCCUACGGGAGGCAGCAGUGGGGAAUAUUGCACAAUGGGCGAAAGCCUGAUGCAGCGACGCCGCGUGAGGGAUGACGGCCUUCGGGUUGUAAACCUCUUUCAGUAGGGAAGAAGCGAGAGUGACGGUACCUGCAGAAGAAGCGCCGGCUAACUACGUGCCAGCAGCCGCGGUAAUACGUAGGGCGCGAGCGUUAUCCGGAAUUAUUGGGCGUAAAGAGCUCGUAGGCGGUUUGUCGCGUCUGCCGUGAAAGUCCGGGGCUUAACCCCGGAUCUGCGGUGGGUACGGGCAGACUGGAGUGCAGUAGGGGAGACUGGAAUUCCUGGUGUAGCGGUGAAAUGCGCAGAUAUCAGGAGGAACACCGAUGGCGAAGGCAGGUCUCUGGGCUGUUACUGACGCUGAGGAGCGAAAGCAUGGGGAGCAGA
rnacentral:rRNA from 1 species